rnacentral:rRNA from 1 species
UACGAGGGGUGCUAGCGUUGUUCGGAAUCACUGGGCGUAAAGGGUACGUAGGCGGUUGGACAAGUCGAUUGUGAAAGCCCCAGGCUCAACCUGGGAACUGCAGUCGAAACUGUUUAACUAGAGUAUGUUCGGGGACAGUGGAAUUCCUAGUGUAGGGGUGAAAUCCGUAGAUAUUAGGAGGAAUACCGGUGGCGAAAGCGACUGUCUAGGCCAUUACUGACGCUGAGGUGCGAAAGUGUGGGGAGCAAACAGG